GGUAGCUUGUCUCGCCCAGGAGGUGAGAAGAGUUGAGAACAAAGUGGCGAACAGGUGUGUAACGCGUGGGAAUCUGCCGAACAGUUCGGGUCAGAUCCUGAAGAAAGCUAAAAAGCGCUGUUUGAUGAGCCUGCGUAGUAUUAGGUAGUUGGUCAGGUAAAGGCUGACCAAGCCAAUGAUGCUUAGCUGGUCUUUUCAGAUGAUCAGCCACACUGGGACUGAGACACAACCGGACUCCCACGGGGGGCAUCAAUGGGGAAUCUUGGACAAUAGGCGAAAGCCCGAUCCAGCAAUAUCGCGUGAGUGAAGAAGGGAAAUGCCGCUUAUAAAGCUCUUUCGUCAAGUGCGCGAUCAUGACAGGACUCGAUGAAGAAGCCCUGGCUAAGCCAGCAGCCGCGGUAAGACGGGGCG
rnacentral:ncRNA from 1 species